rnacentral:rRNA from 1 species
GAUGAACGCUGGCGGCGUGCCUAAUACAUGCAAGUCGAGCGAACAGACGAGGAGCUUGCUCCUCUGACGUUAGCGGCGGACGGGUGAGUAACACGUGGAUAACCUACCUAUAAGACUGGGAUAACUUCGGGAAACCGGAGCUAAUACCGGAUAAUAUAUUGAACCGCAUGGUUCAAUAGUGAAAGACGGUUUUGCUGUCACUUAUAGAUGGAUCCGCGCCGCAUUAGCUAGUUGGUAAGGUAACGGCUUACCAAGGCAACGAUGCGUAGCCGACCUGAGAGGGUGAUCGGCCACACGGGAACUGAGACACGGUCCAGACUCCUACGGGAGGCAGCAGUAGGGAAUCUUCCGCAAUGGGCGAAAGCCUGACGGAGCAACGCCGCGUGAGUGAUGAAGGUCUUCGGAUCGUAAAACUCUGUUAUUAGGGAAGAACAAAUGUGUAAGUAACGAUGCACGUCUUGACGGUACCUAAGCAGAAAGCCACGGCUAACUACGU